GGCAUCGAGCUUGACGAGUUGUAGCUGGCCUUCCGAGGCAUGUGCACGCCCUGCUCAUUCCACUCUACACCUGUGCACUUACUGUGGGUCUCAGGCGAGCGUCGGUCGCUUCGCGGCGUCGUCGUUCAACUGGGCUCACGUUUUACUACAAACUAUUAAAGUAUCAGAAUGUCUACUGCGAAUUAACGCAUUUAAAUACAACUUUCAGCAACGGAUCUCUUGGCUCUCGCAUCGAUGAAGAACGCAGCGAAAUGCGAUAAGUAAUGUGAAUUGCAGAAUUCAGUGAAUCAUCGAAUCUUUGAACGCACCUUGCGCUCCUUGGUAUUCCGAGGAGCAUGCCUGUUUGAGUGUCAUGAAAUUCUCAACCUAACGAGUCUUUGCGGGCUCGGUAGGCUUGGACUUGGAGGUUCUUGUCGGCCUAACGGUCGGCUCCUCUUAAAUGCAUUAGCUCGGUUCCUUGCGGAUCGGCUCACGGUGUGAUAAUUGUCUACGCCGCGACCGUUGAAGCGUUUUGGCCGGCUUCUAAUCGUCUCGUUGGAGACACUACUCUUUAUGACCUUCUGACCUCAAAUCAGGUAGGACUACCCGCUGAACUUAAGCAUAUCUA
rnacentral:rRNA from 1 species